GCCUGGGUGGCUGAGUUGGUUAAGCGUCUGACUUCGGCUCAGGUCAUGAGCUCAUGUUUCCUGAGUUUGAGCCCUGCUCCAGGCU
rnacentral:tRNA from 1 species